CUCAAAGGCUCAAGCUUAAACUUCUUCAACCAGAUAGUUAAAUUGCUACGAUUCCAGUCUACGGCGUAGAAGUGGAAGGAAACGAAGAGAAGAAAUGGCAAAAAGAACAAAUCAAUAGAUGCUCUAAUUGCAAAUGGGAUCUUGGCUACGUUCCUUUUUCACUCCAGCCGUGAAUUGGGUCUUCGUUCAAAACAUCCAGAAAUACGUGCUGAAUUGUAACUUCGCAAGCUGAACCAAUCAAUAUCUGGAUUUCUUUUUGGAUGAUGCUAAUGCCAGCUUACACGCACCUCGAUUGACCACAAGCACGGUGCAACUGCUGUACUAGUAGUAUCAGAAUGAUUCUUCAAGACUUCAACCUGUUACAUUCUUCAACAGACUAGUUAAUUGCUGUGGAAAAAGUAGGAAUGCAGAUACAUGAGAAGAAACAAUAAACUAUGGGGCUGUUUUGAAUAGCUUCCUACUAGGCAUCCUGGCAAACGAGGAGGCAACAAAAAAGUCAUUGCAAGAUGACAAAUUACAAAAUAUUGAAGAAGUACAGAAAAUCAUAGGGUA